GCCCGGAUGACGGAAUUGGUAGACGUAGCGGACUUAAAAUCCGCAGCUUCGGCGUGCGGGUUCGAUUCCCGCUCCGGGCACCA
rnacentral:tRNA from 1 species